UAAAUCAGUCCGGAGUCUCUGGGUUACCGCUCCGCCGGGUUGCUGAACCUUCAGUUUCAACCUAUGAAACUUCCCAUCGACAUCAACUUGACUGUAUU
rfam:Caenorhabditis remanei strain PB4641 contig10.39, whole genome shotgun sequence.